rnacentral:rRNA from 1 species
GACGAACGCUGGCGGCGCGCCUAACACAUGCAAGUCGAACGGAGACAAGAGGAGCUUGCUUUUCUUGACUUAGUGGCGAACGGGUGAGUAACGCGUGAGUAACCUGCCCUGGAGUGGGGGACAACAGUUGGAAACGACUGCUAAUACCGCAUAAGACCACGGGUCCGCAUGGAUCUGCGGGAAAAGGAUUUAUUCGCUUCAGGAUGGACUAGCGUCCAAUUAGCUAGUUGGUGAGGUAACGGCCCACCAAGGCGACGAUUGUUAGCAGGACUGAGAGGUUGAACGGCCACAUUGGGACUGAGACACGGCCCAGACUCCUACGGGAGGCAGCAGGGGGGGAUAUUGCACAAUGGGGGAAACACUGAUGCAGCGACGCCGCGUGGAGGAAGAAGGUGUUCGGAUCGUAUACUCCUGUCGUUAGGGACGAUAAUGACGGUACCUAACAAGAAAGCACCGGCUAACUACGUG